rnacentral:rRNA from 1 species
CCUACGGGUGGCAGCAGUGGGGAAUAUUGCACAAUGGGGGAAACCCUGAUGCAGCGACGCCGCGUGAGCGAUGAAGGAUUUCGGUAUGUAAAGCUCUAUCAGCAGGGAAGAAAAUUACGGUACCUGCCUAAGAAGCCCCGGCUAACUACGUUCCAGCCGCCGCGGUAAUACGUAGGGGGCAAGCGUUAUCCGGAUUUACUGGGUGUAAAGGGAGCGUAGACGGUCCUGCAAGCCAGAUGUGAAAGCCCGGGGCUCAACCCCGGGACUGCAUUUGGAACUGUAAGGCUAGAGUGUAGGAGAGGCAGGCGGAAUUCCUAGUGUAGCGGUGGAAUGCGUAGAUAUUAGGAGGAACACCAGUGGCGAAGGCGGCCUGCUGGACGAUGACUGACGUUGAGGCUCGAAAGCGUGGGGAGCAAACAGGAUUAGAUACCCCAGUAGUC